GAUGAAGAACGUAGCGAAAUGCGAUAAGUAAUGUGAAUUGCAGAAUUCAGUGAAUCAUCGAAUCUUUGAACGCACCUUGCGCCCUUUGGCUAUUCCGAAGGGCAUGCCUGUUUGAGUAUCAUGAACACCUCAACUCUCAUGGUUUGCCAUGGUGAGCUUGGACUUGGGGGUUUUGCUGGCCUUCGGUCGGCUCCUCUCAAACGGAUCAGCUUUCCAGUGUUUGGUGGCAUCACGGGUGUGAUAACUAUCUACGCCUGUGGUUUUCUGCCAGAUAACCUUCAGCGAUGGAGGUUCGCUGGGGCUCAUAAAUGUCUCUCUUCAGUGGAGACAGCUUUUUGGACGUUUGAUCUCAAAUCAGGUAGGACUACCCGCUGAACUUAAGCAUAUCAAUAAGCGGAGGA
rnacentral:misc_RNA from 1 species